rnacentral:rRNA from 1 species
ACACGUAGGAACCGAGCGUUGUCCGGAUUUACUGGGCGUAAAGGGCGAGUAGGCGGCCUGCUAAGUCUCAUGUGAAAUCUCCCGGCUUAACUGGGAGGGGUCAUGGGAUACUGGCAAGCUUGAGGGCAGUAGAGGAAAGUGGAAUUCCCGGAGUAGUGGUGGAAUGCGUAGAUACCGGGAGGAACACCAGUGGCGAAAGCGACUUUCUGGGCUGCACCUGACGCUGAGGCGCGAAAGCAUGGGGAGCAAACCGGAUUAGAAACCCGAGUAGUCC